UGUGUAGGCGGCCGUUUAAGUUUGGUGUGAAAUCUCCCGGCUCAACUGGGAGGGUGCGCCGAAUACUGAAUGGCUCGAGUGCGGGAGAGGAGAGUGGAAUUCCUGGUGUAGCGGUGAAAUGCGUAGAUAUCAGGAGGAACACCGGCGGUGUAGACGGCUCUCUGGACCGUAACUGACGCUGAGACACGAAAGCGUGGGUAGCAAACAGGAUUAGAUACCCUGGUAGUCCACGCCCUAAACGAUGCACAUUUGGUGUGGGUCAUUCAGUUGAUCCGUGCCGGAGCUAACGCGUUAAAUGUGCCGCCUGGGGAGUACAGUCGCAAGGCUGAA
rnacentral:rRNA from 1 species